rnacentral:pre_miRNA from 1 species
UACAACGUUUGACUUUUCAUCUUAUUUAAAAAAAUUUUAUAAUUACUAUUUUUAUUGUUAUUAGAUGAUAAAACUUGAAUAAUACUUUAUGCAUAAUUAUUUUUUUAAUUUUUUUUAAAAAAAAUUAAAUAAGACAGAUAGUCAAAUGUUGGACAUAAAAAUCCA